AGGCCUAACACAUGCAAGUCGAACGGUAACAUUGGUUGCUUGCAACCAGAUGACGAGUGGCGCACGGGUGCGUAACGCGUAUACAAUCUGCCUCUUACAGGGGGAUAGCCUUUGGAAACGAAGAAUAAUACCCCAUAGUAUGUAGAUGCCGCAUGGUAUUUGCAUUAAAGAUUUAUCGGUAAGAGAUGAGUAUGCGUCCUAUUAGCUAGAUGGUGUGGUAACGGCACACCAUGGCAACGAUAGGUAGGGGCCCUGAGAGGGGGAUCCCCCACACUGGUACUGAGACACGGACCAGACUCCUACGGGAGGCAGCAGUGAGGAAUAUUGGACAAUGGGCGAGAGCCUGAUCCAGCCAUGCCGCGUGCAGGAAGACUGCCCUAUGGGUUGUAAACUGCUUUUGUACGGGAAGAAACCCAUCUACGUGUAGAUGGCUGACGGUACCGUAAGAAUAAGCAUCGGCUAACUCCGUGCCAGCAGCCGCGGUAAUACGGAGGAUGCAAGCGUUAUCCGGAAUCAUUGGGUUUAAAGGGUCCGUAGGUGGAUCGGUCAGUCAGAGAUGAAAUCCUGCAGCUCAACUGUAGAACUGCCUUUGAUACUGCCGGUCUUGAAUUAUUGUGAAGUGUUAGAAUAUGUAGUGUAGCGGUGAAAUGCAUAGAUAUUACAUAGAAUACCAAUUGCGAAGGCAGAUCACUAACAAUACAU
rnacentral:rRNA from 1 species